rnacentral:lncRNA from 1 species
AAUUCUAGUGUUGUACCCAGUUUUUUUGCCCAUCCUGGGCAGAUGGGUAUAGUAAUUUCUUGUGAUCUUCUAACAUGUGGUCAAACUUUAUCUUCUCUUUUUCACUUUUGCAAUCUUUUUGUGCAUCACGAAUGACAUCACCAAGAGCAUCAUCUUCAACAGGUGCGCCUUCUGCACCUGCCUCAUCUUCAGCUUCUCCCAUUGCUG